UAAAACAACCCAGCAUUGGGUCAAUUUUAACCCAGCAGUGUGUUCUGUCCAGUAUUUACCUAUUAUGGGUCAAAAAUUACCCAGUCGUUUUUAAAAUGUGCUUAGCAUAAAAUAUAAAAUAUGGUUCUUUUGUACUAAAAAAUUGUAAUUCCACAUCCUGUGGAAAUGGAGAUUUAGUCACCAUACUGGCUGUAUAACAGUGACUCUUUUCCUGUGGACACGCUCAGUGGGUACAUGGCUGUGUGAAAGAAAUAAUGUCAAGGUGACCUUAUCCAGACAGUCCUUGCUAAAAAAAUUACCUCAUACACAUAGGAUGCCGACCUAAGUUUGAAUACCACUGACAGUCCCAAAAGUUUACUUUUCUUUUUUGCAUUUUAAAAGGGGUUACCAAUGUGUGCAGUGAGAGCAGAAAGUCUUUAAUUAAAAGCUCUCAAGCGUAUGUAAGAUACCAGCAGAGUGCGUAUAAGGGGGAUAUUUUCAACUGAACUGGAAUGAAGUUGGGUGGAUGUUGAUUUGUGUACUGCAACACAGUGCACUUCCACUUUCAGCAUUAAGUUUUAUUUAGCAUUCAUCUGAACCAAGCAGUCACCUGUGACUACCAACAAAUCAUAAUAUGAACAAGUCAAUAAGUCUAGCCAAGUGUUUAAACAUGUGCUGCUAAAAUGCUUUUUUAAAUUUUAAUGUAUUUUAUGGUUGACUUUACAAUUGGAUCACUUUGAUUUUUUGGGUAUGAUGAGAAAUUAUUGUAGUCGUGUUUGUUUGACUAGGUAUACUAAUGUCUUGGCACAUACGUUCAUUAAAUACUUUCGAUUCAUAUAGGCUGAAUUGAACUCGGGUCGCCGAAAGUGCGAAAGCACCACAUACAUGUCGGAGCGCUGCCCACUACACCAUUGGCUCCGACUGGUGUAAUUUGUUAAACGGCACAAUGAUUUUUCAACAAAGUCCUCUAAGUGCACUGAAAAUGAAUGUGAAACAACAGUGGAUCACAUUCAAACUUGUUUCGUUUGUAAGUACUUGGACCUGAAUACAAUUUGAAUGUGGCAGCCACAUGCAUCAAUUCAAUUUUUCAAUUCAAAUUUAUUUAUAUAGCGCUUUUCAACAAUUGUUAAUUGCUUCAAAGCAGCUUUGUAUUAAUAAAUGUAGGAAAAGCAUAGAAAAGCAAGCGUAGUAAUAAUGUAACGUAUACAGUAAAAUAUUAAGUUAAGCCAAUGGGGGCGGACUCUCCAGGGGAUGAAAAAAAACCCUAGGAGAAAAACCCUCCUGGCUAGUCCAGAGGGAAAACUCCUAGGAGGAGAAAAAAUCCUGAGAGAGAUACAUAUAUAUUUAUAUAUAUAAAUACUAUCUAGGUAUGUGAACGCGUAAGCGGAUUAAACUGGUUCCGCCGGUGGUCAUUGGUCAGACAUCGGCUGGGCAUCACGUUGAAUGACGGUCAGUAGAUCAGUGGUGUGAUGACCUUUACAGCAGCAGGAACUGGGUCUGUUUGUCUCAUUGUCCCCACAGUUGAGGACGAGACAGGGAGAGAGAUACAUAACCCUAUUAGCGUAGGGGCCGUUCACAUGUAAUGCAAGUGUCAUACAGUAUUGUGGUUUAAAUCAGAUCGGUUCCAGACAGGCUAACUAUUGCGGCAUAAGUAUAUUACCCAGAUGAGUUAUGUGAAUCACAGCGCCCCCUAAUGUGUGGUUCAGUUUGAUCUUUAGUUGCAUCUUUAAUAAUUUAGCAACUAUUUAUUAUUUCUUGUCCAAAGAAGUUUUUUAUUUUUAUAAGUGGGGGUUUUUGCCAAUAAAGCUUGCAUGCACUUAGAGGUUUUUGCAGCGGAAGACAGUCCAAUUUGUUAAAUACCAAUGAAAUGACUAAAGUGACAUUUGUGAAAAUAAGGCAUAUUUCAAUUACAGACUAAUAAUCUUUUAUUGCCAUUAAAGUAAAUUGACUAAAUCUAAAAGCUUGAUAAAAAAUGAUAAUUUGCAAGAAAACAUUUCAAAAGCUGUAGCUCAAUUGAUAGAGCAUAGCA